rnacentral:rRNA from 1 species
GUGGGGAAUUUUGGACAAUGGGCGCAAGCCUGAUCCAGCAAUGCCGCGUGCAGGAAGAAGGCCUUCGGGUUGUAAACUGCUUUUGUACGGAACGAAACGGUCCGGGUUAAUACCCUGGGCUAAUGACGGUACCGUAAGAAUAAGCACCGGCUAACUACGUGCCAGCAGCCGCGGUAAUACGUAGGGUGCAAGCGUUAAUCGGAAUUACUGGGCGUAAAGCGUGCGCAGGCGGUUUUGUAAGACAGGCGUGAAAUCCCCGGGCUCAACGUGGGAAUUGCGCUUGUGACUGCAAGGGUGGAGUGCGGCAGAGGGGGAUGGAAUUCCGCGUGUAGCAGUGAAAUGCGUAGAUAUGCGGAGGAACACCGAUGGCGAAGGCAAUCCCCUGGGCCUGCACUGACGCUCAUGCACGAAAGCGUGGGGAGCAAACAGGAUUAGAUACCCCUGUAGUCC